rnacentral:misc_RNA from 1 species
GAUGAAGAACGCAGCGAAAUGCGAUACGUAGUGUGAAUUGCAGAAUUCAGUGAAUCAUCGAAUCUUUGAACGCACAUUGCACCUCUCGGUAUUCCGGGAGGUAUGCCUGUUCGAGCGUCAUUUGUACCCUCAAGCUCUGCUUGGUGUUGGGUGUUUGUUCCGCCUCUGUGUGUGAACUCGCCUCAAAACAAUUGGCAGCCGGCGUACUUGUUUCGGAGCGCAGCACAUUUUGCGAUCCAGAUCAACGUACAGCGGCAUCCAAGAAGCCUUAUUUAACGCUCUUGACCUCGGCUCAGGUAGGGAUACCCGCUGAACUUAAGCAUAUCAAUAAGCGGAGGA